rnacentral:rRNA from 1 species
CAGUCGCCGCGGUAAUACGAAGGGGGCUAGCGUUGUUCGGAUUUACUGGGCGUAAAGGGCGCGUAGGCGGACUGAUAAGUCAGGGGUGAAAUCCCAAGGCUCAACCUUGGAACUGCCUUUGAUACUGUUUGUCUUGAGUUCGAGAGAGGUAAGUGGAACUGCGAGUGUAGAGGUGAAAUUCGUAGAUAUUCGCAAGAACACCAGUGGCGAAGGCGGCUUACUGGCUCGAAACUGACGCUGAGGCGCGAAAGCGUGGGGAGCAAACAGGAUUAGAUACCCCUGUAGUCCCUGUCUCUUAUAU